GGGGACGUCGGGGUGGCUGGACGCGGGUUGACUGCGACGACCGGCGGUGGAUUGACCCGCGGUUACAAGGACGGACGGACGGGGUCGAUGCGGCUACGCGUGGGCCCCGCCCGUCAGCGGGAGGCGCGAGCGGUGGCGUGGACGUGCGGCCAGUGCCCAGUCGUGUGAAAGCGCGCCGUCGCCGGUCCGUCCACCGGCUGUCAACGGCAGCGGCGCGCGGCGGUGGCCGGCGGCGCAGGCAGGCAACAGAAUUCGAGGGCGUCUGGGUCGGCUAUCUGGGGACUAUUAGCACAUGGUACAGUAAUGGUCAUGAGCAAGUGGUGGCCAUUGUGGUACAAGUUGCAAAACAAGACACAAGGCGAGUGUCGAUGGACGUUGCCACUGGAGCCUGGGAAAAAACCUAAAAUUUAAAAAGUGCACGCGCACUAUUCAGAGAGAACGGGCGGCCGGCUCCUGGCCGCUCAAUCUCCCUCCUAUCGAUGCGUGCUUGGUCAGGUGCCACAUGGUCGGAAGACCUCCCCCUCCUCGCCACUCCGCCACCGAUCCAAACCUCCUCUGGCGAAAUCGUACCUCACCGCGGUCCACGGGCAUCUACCCCGACCCUCUCCCCUAGCCCCUUCCCUUGUCACGAGAGAAGAGCAGAGAGGAGAGGAGGGAGAUCGAGCGACCAGACUAGAUCAGGCAGCCGACAGCUACAAGGGAUUCUUCAACCUGGGUGCCCCUCCAUGGCGUGCGCUUCUGCUUCGAUUUGUGCCCCCGAUGCCAUGCCUGGUGCCCCAAAGGAAGGCGGAACCUCUAGGUGUGGCUACAGCGGUUGGGAGAGAAGGAAGUAGGAGCUUGCUCUAGCCUGGAGAGGAUAGGAGGAGGAAGCGCGGGUGGAGGAUUGUGUCCAAUCUGGAGAAAGAAAAAGAAGAAGGUUGCUAGGAAUGGAGUUCUUCCGUGUCCGCCAUUUUUGCUUUUUGCUAAGUGCAUUCAUGUUGAAUCUAGCAAGACGAGCAUAAGCUGGAGUGCUGCCAUUGCUUUGGUUGCGGUGCCACUGAAAUCUAGUUGGCUUAUAAUAUAGUCUAAUUGCAUAUAUUGAUAUUUAGUUGACAGGAA